rnacentral:lncRNA from 1 species
CACCGUCCACAAAUAUUUCUACCAUAGCUCCUCCUGCUAUUAAUAAUUCUACAGUAUGGCCACCGUCCACAAACAUUUCUACCAUAGCUCCUCCUGCUAUUAAUAAUUCUACAGUAUGGCCACCGUCCACAAACAUUUCAACAGUAUGGCCACCGUCUACAAAUAUUUCUACAGUAGUACAGCCUUAAUCUAAUAGUUCUUCUUUUAUGAUAUAUUUCUAUAAAAAAUAUUUUUAUACGGGAUAAUGGUACAAACAAUACUGAAAAAGGACGUUGCUAAAUAAAAUGUAGAUUAUAUUUUCUUAUUGUAAUAUGCCCUAAUAAACAUCGCUCAAGCAAAAAUAUUACUUAGUUUAACCUAGAUUUUAAUUUUUUAAUAAAUAAUUUCUAACUCAAUUUUUAGCAUUAAAACUGCUACAUAAUUACAUUAAAGUAAUAAUAAUUAGUAUGAUAGUAUAUUUUGAGUGCUACGUAAAAGUCCUGGCUUAUUGUUCAUAUUUUGUAUAUACCACAAACUCAAUAAAAGACUCAUUAUAAUGAUGGAGUUGUAAUGAAAUGUAAUAUUUCCAAACACAACCGUCUUAGGUCAAGUCUUCCUACAUGCGGCAAAUUCCCCUUACAUUGCGAUCACAAAGCAUGAUUCUAUUGGGAUAGAAAAUCUUCUUGAAAUAAAGCGCCCCUGACACAAAUACAUCUAUUGUAGUGCCCCACGCUACAAAAUACUUCUGCCAUACAGCUCCCUGAUGCGAAUACUUGCAUCGUAGAACCUUUGCUACAAAUAUUUGUAACGUAGAGGCCUUGCUACAAAUACUUGUAUCGUAGAGGCCUUGCUACGAUUAGUUCAAGCGUAGAGCCCCUGCUAUAGAUAUUUCUACCGUGGAGACUCCUGGUACAAAACCUUCUAAUAAUAAGACCACUUAACAACUGAAUUGGAAGCCUAACGGAAUAGAAGCAGUAUCCAUAUAGCGAGAAACAGCGAGAUAUCCAAGAACAUAAUUAUUAACUCACAAGACACUACGCAGAUUCUACUACUGCCUCUUUGGACAGAAAGGCGAGAGGGAUUGCGCUUCUAGAACUUCAUCUAUGCAGGUUUAAGACGGGAAUGGAAUGUCAAUUCUUUAAAUUAUGAUGGCGGCAGCGGCGGCGGAGGCGGCAGAACGGCGAAGUAUACUUCUCAACGGUGAUUCAGUGACUUCCCCGAAUAUCCUUCCACUGCAUGACUAUCUACAGCCUUUUCUACUACUGUGUGCAUGAAGACACAAUACCGAGAAAACAUUACAACCAAACGUGCAAACUUUGCAACUGGCAUUUCAAUGCCGGUGACAGUUGGAUCGUUAUAAAGAAGGAUGUAAAUUACUUCCCUGGACUCAUGACCGACAAAUGCUGAAGAAGUGAGAGUGAGACCUCUGUCCUCGUCACGUGCUCCGAAAGACUGCUUCAACCCUGCAACUACAAGCGAGUACGUCUGUUUCUCCUGGGGGCGCAACAUAAGGUCCUGCAUCAGUCGGAAGAGCCCAGCAGGAGAUAUCGGCUUGUUUGCCCACGGCAGCCAUUGUCAACGCAUUAGAAGAGACUCUUGGAUACCUGGUAUUACCUCAGAUCGCUACCGGAACAGCUUCCACGAUAUAAUCUGUAGACAGUCCGUCAGUACGUACUGGACAACAUCAGCGAAGUCUGCACCUCAAUCAAUUAAGGGUUACUUUGGAUGAACAUGCAACUCCAAAUGUGGAAUGAAAACUAAUGAAUCCCGUUAAGCGCCUUUUACGAGAGGCAGAGAGUUGUAACUGUUAUUACCAUGGGAUAAGAUUGACAUCGAUAUGAAGUCACACACAAAGAAUUUGUGUUAAGUAUAAGUGUUUUUUUUUUACAACAUUUUGGCGCUUUAUUGUAAUUAUUACUUUGCAAAAGAUUUUUCAAUCGUCUGAGAAUAAAAGUAUAUCACACAAAUAGUAAAUGACAGAAGUCGUGUUGAUAAAAUAUUUAAUUACAUUACAUUUUGUUUAUAUUCACUUAAGUUAUGUUUUUUUUAUGAAUAUUUUUCUUUUGACUAUUGAAAAAUCAGCUCUUACAUAGAAGAACUUAUGUCCACAAUUACAUAAAAUUCAAAAAAUAAAAUAAAAUAAUUUGAUUAAUUAUCUCUAACUUUGCAGAAAUAAUUUUGUAUACUUUUAAAAUCGUUGUAUAAGAUAACUAUGAACAAUAUUAGAAAUAUCAAGCAUUAUUUGUAAAAUUAUAUUUUAUCUACAAAAAGUAAUCGAUUACUAAUACACAUGGUAUAUUAAUUUUAAGAGAAUACAUUCAUAUUAUUCAUUAUGCA